ACCGAAAUAGCUUAGUAGCGAGAGCGUUUGGACUAUAGAUCGAAAAGUCCCUGGUUCGAUCCCGGGUUCCGGCA
rnacentral:tRNA from 1 species